GUGUCAGCCGCCGCGGUAAUACGUAGGCAGCAAGCGUUGUUCGGAAUUACUGGGCGUAAAGAGUGUGUAGGCGGUUCUCUAAGUUCCGUGUGAAAUCUCCCGGCUUAACUGGGAGGGUGCGCGGAAGACUGGAGGGCUGGAGUAUGGGAGAGGAAAGCGGAAUUCCUGGUGUAGCGGUGAAAUGCGUAGAUAUCAGGAGGAACACCUGCGGUGUAGACAGCUUUCUGGACCAUCACUGACGCUGAGACACGAAAGCGUGGGUAGCAAACAGGAUUAGAAACCCCAGUAGUCC
rnacentral:rRNA from 1 species